CGCAGGGGUGCUGAUUGCUGAGACGUUCUCCGGGAGCCUUCCGGAAAACGAACCCUUAACCUGAUCCGGGUAAUGCCGGCGUAGGGAGCUUUU
rnacentral:ncRNA from 1 species